CCUCACGGGGACAGUGAAAAUCUUUAAGAACCAAAAGAAAGCCGAAUUGGCUGAAGCAAAUGCACGGCCUCAGUCGUCUAAACUGGCCAAGGUGGAGUAUCUUGUUGAGCUACUUUUGUGGAAUUUCUGCAAGGUGCUAGAGGCAAACUGGGAACUCUAUAAGAACGAGAGGAUGGCGAAGGUGCAAGAGGGGACAGUGGACGCAACCUUAUAUGCACACUAGCAAGAAGAUGAGGGAAUCCAGGCGCUAGCACAGGCGCAGGUCAUAGGGGCGCUUCUCAAUUCGGCAGUGAUUAUGGAUCAAUGAGGAACUACGUGGACUGGCCAGGGGGCUUGCACCGAAGAUCAGCAUCGGAAGCGAUUGAGGGUGGGACUGGUACGGUAUGGUGGUGGGUUGUGUUGCUUACGUGUUUUGUUUUCUUUUGUUGGACCGGUGCAGUAUAAUAUUUAAGAAAGUUUUGA